CCAGCGAAUGCACCUCUAGCCGCCCUAUCCUCGGAGGGAGUCUCCUAGCCCUCGCUGAUACCUACAGACUCUCCCGCAGUGGGGUCAAAUGCUGUGGCGGAGACCAGUAGUACACAGGCCCCGGUGAGGCCGUGGGAUGCACCACCACCACAACCACCAGCGCCACUACUUCCCCCAAUGGCCCAGAGGCGUUUUAUUAGCCUCCGAAAUUUAGUUAAUUGAUUUAAUUUUUUUUAAUUUCAUUUGAUUUUAAUAUUUCAUUAUUAUUUUCAAGUCUGACUACAAUUUUCAUAUGGCCAUCAAUAAUGUGGCCAAAGGGCAUUAUCCGCAUCCCUAGGCCAACAUAUCCUAGAUCCCAUAGGAGUAUCAACUAUUCUGGUUCUAAAAAUUGAAGAUGUCAUACUAGUGGGACUGCGACGACGAGUCGAUGGUCAAACUCAUCAAGUCGUAUGCGGGGAAGUUCCUGCAGAAGCGGUUUGCUGACGCACAGAACCAGUGGCCCGACCACUAUUGCUGGCCGAGGAGAUCUAGCGUCAGUUCCUAAUAGUCGAUCAAGGAUAAGAUCAAUCGGACCGCCAACCAGGAAGCAGCUGCGAUCGUCUACCGCGGGGAGUCGUCAUCCAUUGGGGUACACAAGCAGAAGAUGGAGACACAACUCAGACGCCCCGUCACUCAGAUGGAGGUGUUCGAGAAGGUUUACAAAAAAAAAGUACGACGACCAGUAGAGCGACCCGAGAGCGAAGGAGGAGAUGUUCUUGAGGAUGAUGGAGGAACGCCAGAGACAGCAAAGCAGCGAUGAAGAGCUUCCAUUGUCCUCUCAAGGCUCCGUGGCCCCGGACGAGCAGCUGAUCGUCGGAAGAGGGACCGAGUAUUCGAUCUCAGCUCUGAGGCCGACCACUCGAUUGUUGGAUCAUCGCAGGCGACCCGUUCGACUACUCCCUCGCCCUCACCACCACAGCUGCAGCGCCCCGACAUAGAUGAUUGGGUGUUGGCACUCGAGCGCUACAUCAGAAGCAUCGAUCCCAACUGACCCGAUUAUCUGGCGCUCGAGCGUCCAACAAAUCCCCCAGCACCUAACGGUGAACACGCGACUA